CCUUGACAAGGAAUGGCUCAUGUCCAGGACUUGUCUUUAUCAUGGUGCUUGGGGAUGCAUCUCCCAUUGCACCUGGGAGCUCCCAAUGGGUUUAGGAGAGUGACAACCAGACAGAUGAAUUCAGUCUGUAAACCUUUGCUGCAGGGCAGCCAGUGGUCACUGCUGCUCUCCUGAGCACAUAGGUGAAGCCUGUGGCAGUGGAGGGUGAAUGGACACUGCACAUACCUUUAGGGAAGUCCUUGCAGGGAGAUUUGGGUCUGCAAUCUCCAAUGAGCAUCACUCACCCCAGGAAAGAUCUUCUAAUAUCCCAUGUCAUUAACUUAGUGUAUAUAAAGUGCCUAUUCCAGCAAAGUGUGCUGAGCCCAGGAAGCAGCCAAGUUCUCACAGCGGGGAUUUCCAAAAGAUUUAGUAAAAAACAUUAUAAUAAUAUUUGACAAGGGUACAGGGAUGACCAGAAAGACGGUGCACAUAUCUGGUGGACCACUUAGUUACUAGCACAUCCCAUGCUGGAGGACAUAAUGAAGUAUUUUUCAUAGACAGUGUUUUUUUCCCGAAAUCUCUAUUUGACUAAGGAGCUUGCAAGGCAGAUAACAUCAAGUGGGAAUGGAGAGCAGCUGACCUCCAAGAGCUGUUUGGAUGUUUAGAGUUCUCCUUAUCUUUGCAGUGUUAUAGCCAAAGUGGCUGUGUGUGAUCCUGGCUGGAUGCAGAGCUCAGGCUCGGCAGCAGGAGUUUGUGCUUACUCUUUUAAUUCCCUGUGACAGAAGAGGAACUGCGAACUUCAUCAGGUUCCAGAAGAGCUAUCCAGGCAACUAAGUCAAGCUGAUGAUUGGGAGGUUGGUUUUCCCCCAGGCUGAGGCUGCUUAUGCGACAGUUUGGUGGUCCUGCUCGCAGAGAGAGAAGGAGCACACAGCAAAGGCAAAGAGAGCAGGAGCAUCUUUGGAAAUUUCAACACUGAAACGGUACAGUCCUCUGCUGUUGGCUUGAACAUCUCCCCAUCUCACUCCAAUGAGGCUGUUGUUUUGCAAUGCUGGCAACUCUCAGGGACCUUCGGGACUGCAGGAGCAGAGCCUGCACAGAUGGGAAUUAGGGCCAUGGCCCUUGUGGUCUGACUGGGGGUGCAAAAUCCCCCUCCUAAUUGCAAACACAGUCAAUUACUGUUGGGCUACAUGGGCAUGAUCUGUCUGAAUCUAAUCUGGGCAGCCCCAAGCUCCUCCAGACAUCUGCAACAAGCAGGUCUGCUCUGCUGCCAAGACUUUGGGAUGGAACCCACUGGAAGAGGCAGAAAUGGAACCUCUGGACCCCAGUAUACUACAAGAAGGAGCAGGACCUCCAGAGCUGGACUGCAAGGCUCCCUGGUACGUGCAGAACCACUCUAGAGCAGACUCUGGAGGCAGAUCUGCUCCGAAUGCAUGGAGAUGCCAACUCUAGCAGGUGUCUGUGUUCCACAACUACCCUGGCUGGGCUAGAAUCAUCUUAAGGUCUCCAUUACUCUCUGCAAAGGAGAAAGUCUAUCCUAAGCUACACUGAACUGUUCUCUAAUGAGAGGGAGAUGGGAAGAGGCAACUACCAGAGCACAGGGAAAACAAGAUUUGGAGCUUGACGUACCCC
ensembl:lncRNA